CGUUAUGUGGAGGACAGCUAAGCGACUGGAGUCACAGAAAAGGAGGGGAGGAGAGGAGGAGAAAGAAGCGUCUGAGCUGGCGAGGUCUCCUGGCAGCUCCAAGAGCGAGAGCUGUGGUGGAUGUCAGCUGCCACCAUUUCACCGUGGUUGCCCUUUCUUCUGCCGUGAAAGUACAAGACAGAUGGAAAGAUUCCGUAGUGGUCUGCAAGUACAAGGUUCUCCCAGGAAGCAUUAGCAGCCUUGUAACUAGUGGCAGCGAGUCCUGAGGUGGUUUUGUUUUCCACUUCACUUUCAGCUUUAUUCACCAAACAAGCAAGAUGCAAAGCAGCAGCAGCAGCGCAAGGGCUGUAGCUGUUGCGGUGGGCCCGUAAGCGUAGAUUCUGAUUGGGUAUGACCUCGUCCCGCAGCCUCCCGGGGUUCUCUCCCUGCAGCAGUGGUGUAAGGAAGGGAGGAGAUGUCUUCCAACGCCGGCAAGAGUGUUUACUUGUAUGCUAAGAAGGUGUUCAAAAUGGUAUCAAUUAGCCUAAAUGCUGAUUUUAAGGGUUCAAAUCACUCUUAACUUUUAAAGGAGGUGGUGUAUUUCGAGCUGACCUGUUUACCUGGAAUCCUCCUUUAGCUCAGCGACUCUUCUCGGGCACCCCCAGCCUCCGCUGGCAGGGCGGUAUGAGAAGCUGGAAGGUCCUUGACUUAGUAUAAACACCGCUUAGCAACA